rnacentral:tRNA from 1 species
GAGGUGGUUGGGCAUGGGCACGCCCCACUGGCUGUAACCCGGUUGCCGAAAGGCGUUGGCGGUUCGACUCCGUCCCACCUCA